GCUAUUUUCACAGGAAAUGGUUUAUUCCCAUGCUUUUAUUUUAGAAUCCAGCCAUGAUUCUUCUUUUCCUCAAUAAUUUUCUCGAUGGUUAUUUCUCACAUACCAUUUCAGCACAAUAUUUAGUAAGCAGAAAGAUAUGUUUUGAAAUGUGAGACUUAUUUUAUAUACUACAAUAUUUUUUCCUUUUUCCCUUUAUUAGCCUUUCUUGAUACUCCAUAUAGGACUGGCUGUAGAGCAAAGCAGGACUUGUCUGACUUUUCUGGACAAAUCUAUAGGGACUUCUGGACUAUGGGCACCUAUAGACAUGUGGACACCUCUGGCUUCUCUCUCUAUAGCGCAGCUCCCUUGAUCUCUGCACAGCGGUGCAUCUCACUGGAGCAUCAUGGGCAAGAAAAUGGCUGCUUUCCAUGA
rnacentral:lncRNA from 1 species